GUAACACGUAGUCAACCUGCCCUGGAGACCUGGAAAACCCCGGGAAACUGGGAUUAAUCCGUGAUAGGUCACCUCAUCUGGAAGGAGAGAUGGCUUAAAGGGCUGCGAGAGCUUCUUUCUUGCAUUCGCUCCAGGAUGGGACUGCGGCCGAUCAGGCUGUUGGCGGUGUAAUGGACCACCAAACCUGUAACCGGUACGGGCCUUGAGAGAGGGGGCCCGGAGAUGGACACUGAGAGAAGGGUCCAGGUCCUACGGGGCGCAGCAGGCGCGAAACCUUCGCAAUGCGCGAAAGCGUGACGAGGUUAAUCCGAGUGGUCCCCGCUGAGGGGAUCUUUUGUUGGCUGUAAAAAGGCCGAUGAAUAAGGGGAGGGCAAGUCUGGUGUCAGCCGCCGCGGUAAUACCAGCUCCUCGAGUGGUCGGGGCGAUUAUUGGGCCUAAAGCAUCCGUAGCCGGUUCUGUAGGUCCUCUGUCAAAUCCAACGGCUUAACCGUUGGCCCGCAGAGGAUACCGCAGGACU
rnacentral:rRNA from 1 species